rnacentral:lncRNA from 1 species
UUCACAGCUCACCCUAUUUAAAAGUUCCCUGUUUUUUCAUGGUUUUUCCAAAUGACGUACUAGCAAGCCAAGGUAGUAGACAUCUGCUUUCUCCCCUCCUAGAAGCUCAGAAGAAGCAAUUGGAGGAGAGUAUAGAGCUGAUCCAAGACGAAUGUGUGUCAGAGAAUGCAGACCACUCCACAGAGGAGCCUGCUGAAGGAGGGCAAGAAGCGGAUGGAGGAGAGAUGACUGAUGGGGUAGAGGAGGACUUCGAUGAAGAUGGGGGUCACGAGCUGUUUCUACAGAUAAAGUGAUAUGAAGUAGUGUACACUAGUGCAAA